AGCUCUCAGGCCUUUUGGCUAAGACCAAGUGUAAUAUCUGUUCUUAUCAGUUUAAUAUCUCAUCACAUGGAGGGAACCACAUAUUAAAUAGAUUUUAGGAACAAGGAGCCGGAAGUGGGGCUUGUCCUGUCCACUCCAUGCAUCGACCCGGUAUUGCAGGUUCACCUCUACUUAGGGGGCAGUGUGU